CUUUGCGACAAAAGAAGAGACUUCAAUUUUAACACAAUAAUACACUUUUAAAGAACACUAUUCACAAUCAGCUUCAUAGAAUUAAAAAAAUUUACUGAAGUUAAUUAUCUAUAAGAAAUCAAACUUUUCAUUAAUUAAUUAGAGAAUAAAACUUCAAAAUAUUGCAUUAACCUUACUCUGAAAAAAAAAAAAAAAGCAUCAGCUACUACACUGAAGAGCCAAAACAUUAUGACCACCGACUCAAUAACGCGUUGCGUGACCCUUGGCCUGCAGAACAGCUGCAACUCAUCUUGGCAUGCCACGGGCUCUUGGUAGGUGACUGGGGACAGGUUGUUCCAAAUGUUUAAGCAGCUGUCACGCAAAGUCAAGAUAUUCUGACAUGGUAGUGCUUGAGCUCUGAGCUACCUCUUCAUGUCAUUCUAAGUGUACUCUGUCGGGUUUAUAUCCGGCGAGUUAGGUAGCCAGAACAUUAAUUGGAAUUCAUUCUUAUGCUCCUCGAACCUGUCCAACACAAUUCGAGCCUUGCGACACUGGGCGUUGUCAUGCUGUAAGAUUCCACUUCUAGUUAGGCAGACAGACGUCAUAUAAGGAGGCAAAUGAUCCGCAAUUAUGUUCAGAUAGUCUGUAGCUUUUAUGGUCUGUUCUACCACAACUAAGGGUCCCAAAGCCGCCAAACGUCCCCCAAAGCAUAAUACCGCCCCCACCAGCCUGUAUAUGACCUGCUGCACAUACGCGGAGCAACUGUUCUCCUGGAAGUUGGCGUACCCUGACAAGACUAUCGAUAUAAUGAAUGAGAAUUCGUGAUUGAUCCGACCAGGCAAUUGUCUUCCACUUCUCCAUGGUCCAUUCUCGAUGUUCCCGGGCCCACUAUAGGCGUAGUUGACAAUGGCGCUUAGUCAACAGAGGCACACGUCUGCUGCGCAGUCCCAUAUCCAACAAUGUGCGCUAAACUCUGUGUUCCAAAACACUUGCACCUGGACCUGCACUGUAUUGGGCUGUCAGCUGAGCAGUUUAGUGUCUUGCGCCGAUUUUGCUGUACGAAGCAGGACAGUCUGCGACGUUCAUUUUCUUUAAUGACGCGUGGAUGUCCAACAUCUUGGCGUCUACGGCUGUUUUUACUAUCAUUUAUUCACUUUGCGUAAAUACCAACAACGGCAGAUCGUAAAUUAUCUACCAGUUCUGCAGUUUCGAAGACACCCCUUCCGAGUCUUUGGGCCAUUACAAUCUGCCAUUUAUCGAAUUCACUUUGAUCAGCAGCCUUUCCCAUCACUCGAAAAGUAAGAGCAAGGAUGAUUCCUUACCUUCUCCAGCAGCAGUUAAAUACCAUUUCCACUUGAUCAUGUGCUAUUCACAUCAUCCAGACCAGUUUCAUUGAAAAAUGUGGGGAUGGUCAUAAUGUCUUGGCUCAAUGGUAACUAAAACUAGAGACUUUUUUUACAUGUGAAUAAUUUUCUUUUCAUGUACAGAUUCUGUAUAAUAUUUCUAGUUCUUUCCUUUUGUUAACUACUAGUUUGAUUUAGUUUCAAAAAUCCAUAAUAGCUAUGCUGGGAUAAGACUUUAAACUUAUUAUCUUCGUUUUUUAUAACUUUGGCCUGAAUUUAAAUUCAAAUUUACAUUUUAGAGUUAAAUAUACUAUAUUUGCUAUUUAAUAUAUAAUAUUUGCUAUUUAAUAUAUGCUUGCUACUAAAUAUGCUUUGUUAUUUAACGCUCAUUGUGGUCUCUUUCCCUUGCUCCUUGCUUCUGCUCUCUUUUACUUCUUCUUUUUUGGCAAACCUAAUUUUCGCUAUUUGCACAAAGAACUUGUUUCUGAGAAUUCUUCCGUCUUCUAUUUUGCUGCCAAAUUUUUCUCCUACGACAAAUUUUCGACAACCUUGGCAUGGUUUCUUAUUUGAAGGACAUUCACUAGUUUAUCUAUUUCUGCAUUUGAAUGAUUUUCACAAGAAACGGCAACCUUACUCUUUCGUUUCCACGCUCACCGUUUGAAUGCUAAAAUAACUGAACCAUUUUUUCUAAAGGUUGAAGCACAUUUGUUUCAUUCAGAAAUGGAGUAAAUGCAAUGUUGUGUGGGCUCAACCUGGGUACAUCUAGCCUGCCAGCAAUAACAUAAAGUUUGAUGGCUGAAAAUCAAUACGUCUGAGAAAAGGACCCGAUUGACAGAUGAGCAUCUAGAAUCGGUGAUAAAAAUCUUUAUUCAAGGCUACAAAUUUUGUCAGAAUCGAAAUGCCAUUAAGUAUCAAGUUGUAGUAAGAAAUAAAGAAAUUUAUAAUCGUUUACAUUCAAAUGCAUGUAUUUUUUUUUCGUGUGUUGAAGAAAAUUUAAUAAAUAAAAGAAGGAAUGCUGUCAUUA